CUUACACAUGCCGGAACUGAGGCCCAGAAAGGGGAAGCAGCUUGCCCCAGGUUAGUGGGGCAGGGCUCGAUGAGCUCAGAACAGAGGCCACUUCCCCAGAGCUCUGAUGGCCCAGAGAAGAGUGUUGUAUGAUGUGGGCCCAGGGUGUCCCUUCGGCAAGGCAGCCUACUUCUAUUUUGUUCUCCUUUGCCAGACAUUUGGGAGGGGCCCUGCUGCUUGAGCGACAGAAUGGGGAGCAGCUGAGUCACAAGAGGACGAUACUACUGGACCAUAUUACAGAUUGGGAAAACUGAGGUUAAAGAGUCUGAUAACUUACACACCACUAACAGGUGGCAGAGUGAGGACUUGAACGCAGGUCUAGCCAACUCCAAGUCACAUCCACAAACAUCCCCCUCAAACCUCAGGUCUUUGCUGCUCUCCUGGCCUUGGUGUUCCCUUUCCAGUUCACCUCUCAAAUGGGCAACUGGGUUAUAUCAUUCAGGUCUUAGUUUAUCUUGCCUUCAUAGCCUUUGGCCUUAUUUCAUGAUUAUCUUAUUUAUAUAACACCCCCAAUAUAUAGUGCCAUGAGAUGGCAAGUGACAAAGUAAAAUUACUUCUGCUGUUCAGCUAAAAUAGCAAAGUCAUUUUAGCUACUUAUGAGUAGGAAUUUUGUCUUGCACCAAGGUAUCCCUGAAACUAUAUUUGUCAAUAUUUGUUGAACACAUGGAUGAAUGAAUGAAUGAGUGAAUGAAUGAGUGUGUGGGCCUCCUGCCUAGCUUUAAAAGCCACAGUCAAGGAGAAGGUGGCUGUAAGCUUAUCUUCCUUGGCAGAGCAGUUUUGUCCACUGUGGCGCUAGCAGAGAGAGCACACCCUUUGUUCUCCAUCCGACGUAAGACACCUCCUUGGCUCGAAAAGGGGAGCAGGGCUGCUGGUCUGCACCUACAGGCUGUUCUCAAACAGGCUCGCCCCACAGAGCUCCGGAAAAGAGGAAAAGUUUGCCAACUGCUGAUAUGAGCUCAUGGAUGAAAAGUACUUUAGAACAAUGCCUGGCACAGACUAGAAAGCAAGGGUAUGGAUUCUUGUCUUUCUUGGUCCCCAGUACAAAUCUCAAAGCCAGGCUUGUUGGACAAACAAAUGAAGAUGAGCCUGGGAGCCCAGGCAAGGGACCAGGAGCAGCGGGGCCUCCAUGACUCACACAAGCCUCAUCCCUGAACCAAGGAUACAGCCUGCCAGCAACGGCCCCAAGCCACGCCCCACCACUGGGGGAACUGACACUGCGGUGAGAAGUGACAGCUUUCUGUUGUUUCUUUUUUUUUUAGCAGAACAUGAAUUGAGACAUAAUUUCAUUUUCAUAAUUAGAAAACACUAAUGUCGAUGGGAGCAAAUGAGAUCACAGUUGUCUAUUCCAAACUCUUCUCUGGGAAAAGGAGGAGGAAAAGUUAUUGGUACUAUGUUCAGAAUCGUAGCUGAAGACGCAGAAAUUGCUCAUCCCAAUUUUGCCUUUGUGGGUAAGUAAUUUGGGGGCAGGUCUUAUUAAAAAUAAUUGCCAAUCUUUGCUGAGCCACAGAACUUUGCUAGGUGCUUUAUAUUCAUUUCCUGGUAUGAUCAUGACAUUAACCCUGUGAAAUGGGUACCCUUACUACCUCCAUGUGAAGAGAUGGGGGAACUGAGGAACAGAGAAGUUAACUAACUUGUCCAAAGAUGCAUAGCGAGGGCUGUGUCUCUCUCUGCUUUUUAACUUUUUUGUUCUUAUCUCUCCACAGCACAUAGCAGGCAUGAUAUGAAGGUGGCAUGCUACACAAUUUCACUGUUUGUUUCUUGAAAUAAUAACUUAUAGGGGCCUGCUUCUAGAUUCCAAAGAAAAGAAAAAAGGAAAUAUGCCCCAAACUCAGGCUUUCUGCCUGGCCCUGCCUGACUCACUGAGCCGAAUUGGACAAAUGAUUCAUUCACUGGCCUUGACCUCAGUGGGUUUGGCCACCCAUUGAGAGUGAAGUCACACCUCCAGCACUGUGAUGCAUUCAUUGGUCCAGUCACCUAACUUCAUGGCAGGCAAGAAACAGGCCUGGGUGAGCCUGCCGGGAUCAGGGACAGGAGGGCACACACAUGUUUCUAGAUAUCCUCGAGCUGUGGCUGGGCUGCUCAGCUCUUCCCUAGGAGAUCCUCCACGUCCUAAAUUAAUUUGCCAGGGCUUCCGUAACAAAGUGCCACAGACCGAAAGGCUUAAAUAAAAAUGUAUCGACUCAUGGUUCUGGGGGCUGGAAGUCUGAGAUCAAGGUGCUGGGGAUUAGGAUUUCAACAUGGGUUUUUUUGGGAGAGAACACUUCAACCCAUAGGAGGGCCUGUGUCCCAGAGAAAGCCUCCUUCUGUGUGCAGUGAAGGUGUGUGUUCUAAACAUGAGAAGAAAAACACGCCUUGUUCUUGGGUAGGAUGACUCAAUACCACAAACAGAUCCAGUUGGUCCCACGUAAAUAUAUCCCUUUAACAUGAUCGUCAUGAAAAUACUGAGGGUAGGUGUGUUUUUUAUUGUUGUUUUCUGGAGUGAAGUUGAUUCUGGAGUUGAUAUGAAAUAAUAAACAA